rnacentral:rRNA from 1 species
AUUGAACGCUGGUGGGAGGCUUAACACAUGAAAGUCGAACGAGUGGCGGACGGGUGAGUAAUGUCUGGGAAACUGCCUGACGGAGGGGGAUCACUACUGGAAAUGGUAGCUAAUACCGCAUACCAUCAGAUGUGCCCAGAUGGGAUUAGCUAGUUGGUUGGGUAACGGCUCACUCAGGCGACGAUCCCUCGCUGGUCUGAGAGGAUGACCAGCCACACUGGAACUGAGACACGGUCCAGACUCCUACGGGAGGCAGCAGUGGGGAAUAUUGCACAAUGGGCGCAAGCCUACUGCAGCCAUGCCGCGUGUAUGAAGAAGGCCUUCGGGUUGUAAAGUACUUUCAGCGGGGAGGCGUUACCCGCAGAAGAAGCACCGGCUAACUCCGUGCCAGCAGCCGCGGUAAUUC